UGGGGAAUAUUGCACAAUGGGGGAAACCCUGAUGCAGCGACGCCGCGUGAGUGAGGAAGUAUUUCGGUAUGUAAAGCUCUAUCAGCAGGGAAGAAAAUGACGGUACCUGACCAAGAAGCCCCGGCUAACUACGUGCCAGCAGCCGCGGUAAUACGUAGGGGGCAAGCGUUAUCCGGAUUUACUGGGUGUAAAGGGAGCGUAGGCGGCGGGGUAAGCCAGAAGUGAAAGCCCGGGGCUCAACCACGGGACUGCUUUUGGAACUAUCCGGCUGGAUUGCAGGAGAGGCAAGUGGAAUUCCUAGUGUAGCGGUGAAAUGCGUAGAUAUUAGGAGGAACACCAGUGGCGAAGGCGGCCUGCUGGACUGUAACUGACGUUGAGGCUCGAAAGCGUGGGGAGCAAACAGGAUUAGAUACC
rnacentral:rRNA from 1 species